GGACAUCUUUGGAGGCCAUUAUGCUGUGUGCUGUCCACCUCAAUUGCUGUGGUAGUAGGCAUCGCCUUAAUUCAUAAGCAUAUGCUCAGCAUGUACUCUGCGAAAGGUACUGGGGAUCGAACUCGGGUUCUUGCGCUUUCACAGCAGGCAGCGAAACCACUGAGCUAAAUCUCCGGCCCCAGCACCCUCCUUUUCUUCGUUGUGUGUUUCCCUUUUAUGCUCCUUGUUAUGAGGUGAACUGUGUCCUCCCAAAAUGCAUACGUGAAACCCUAUCUCCCAGCACCUCGGAUGUGACUGUAUUUGGUUGAUAGGGGCUUUAGAGAGGUGAUGAGGGUGAGCCCCAACCCAAUACUUAGAAUACUGGUGCCCUUCUAUGGAGAGACUGGACCGAAGAUAAACACAGAGGAAGUCACAUGAAGACACAGAAGGGUCAUCUGCGAGCCAUGGAGAGACCAAUUCUGAUGGCACCUUGGCCUUGGACUUCUGGCCUCCAGACUUAUGAGAAAGUUUUGUUGAGAAGCCACCCAUUCGUGGCACUUGGUUGUGGUCAUCUUUGAAAGCCAGUGACUCCUCCAGAGACUGUGCCCCUGGGCCACCAUCCAUCCAUGUGGAGCUGUGGGCCCUCCAUGCUGCCAGCUCACUCAGUGCCUACAUUUCACCAGGACUGUUUCCCACCCCUGGGCCUCUGCUUUGUUCUGGGUGGUGUUUGUUUUCAGAACUGUUGUUCCCUGAGAAUGGAUGAAGAGCACUGCUCUGUGUCUUGGGAGACUCCUGCAGUGGGGAGGGACUCUGGUGUCCAGGGCUGGGCUUGUGGGAGCCAGAGUGGUCAGAGACACCUCCCUGAGCUCAGUUCACAGCUGUCAGAGGACUGUUGAGCCACCUGUUCUCAGCACCAUCUCUGGCGGUGGAUUCCUCAUGUGCUGCCCUCUGUGAGCAUGCACAGAACAGAAAGAAAUGUGUUCCUCCUCACUAGCAAGGCAGGAAUGUGGGAUAUCAUUUCACUUAUAAUUCAUGCUUCUUCUUCUUCCUCUUUUUGAAAUUAAU
rnacentral:lncRNA from 1 species